AGAGGUAUAGCUAGGUCAAAUGAUUCCAUUCCAAGUUUUCUAAGGAAUCUCCAUAUUGCUUUCCAGAAUGGUUGCACCAAUUUGCAGUCCUACCAGCAAU
rnacentral:pre_miRNA from 1 species